rnacentral:rRNA from 1 species
UACAGAGGGGGCAAGCGUUGUUCGGAAUUACUGGGCGUAAAGAGCUCGUAGGUGGUUUGUCGCGUUGUUCGUGAAAACUCACAGCUCAACUGUGGGCGUGCGGGCGAUACGGGCAGACUAGAGUACUGCAGGGGAGACUGGAAUUCCUGGUGUAGCGGUGGAAUGCGCAGAUAUCAGGAGGAACACCGGUGGCGAAGGCGGGGUCUCUGGGCAGUAACUGACGCUGAGGAGCGAAAGCGUGGGGGAGCGAACAGG